AAAGAUUUUGAACGUAAACCUUAUUUCUAGCAGUCCAACAUUGUAAAAAGACUAUAUAUAAUCUGAUAGCAAUAUAUGUGGGAUCACACUCUCUAUUUUCUGAAACCAUCUGUGUGCACUUCAAUUGCAGGAUAUAUGAUCGCCUAUGGAAUCAGUUAGAGUUAAUUGGAAAUGAGCAAGUUGUGCUGAUGUCGGAGUCACUGCAUACUCUAUAUGAAGAUACAUUCAUACGUAAAGAAAAAGAGAUAAAAGUAUAUGGUUGGCUAUAAUAUGGAAAGUUUAAAAAGUUAAAAUCCACAAAGCAUAAAGUAUAAAUAUGGAAUCUGGAAGCACUGAAAAAGCAUUGUAUUGAAUCUGGAUACUAUGUAGAGAGAAAAAUAAGAUAUGUUUGACUAUAAUCAAGAGAAUGCGAGAAAAAACGCAAAAAGAAAGAAAGAUAACAGUUAUUUGUUCUAAAAGCAUAUAUAUAAUAU